GGUUACAUUUCCAUCUCUCUUGAUGAACAAGGCAAAAUCAAUCGUUGGAACUUGAAAGUAUCAGUAACAAUCUUGAAGAGGCAAGUUUAUCCACAGCAUGCAACUUUUAGUUAUUGGAAAACGUUAUCAACCAUACCGACUGGCGAUAAAUUAAUUGCUGUCAUAACACAGCAUGAAAUAGUCUUAUCAGUUUGAGUUUUACGUGCAUUUGUGUUUUUACUUUGAUAUUGCAAAAUGUAGGGUCUAACACUUAUCCCUAAAUGCAGCAAUCUGGAGCUUUUCAUGUGGAUCUUGGACGCUGGUCACUGCUAUCCUUUGGACCUGAAGUUCGCCGAGCAUAUGGUUCCUCUAGAUUUUUCUUCAUAAGCAGCAUACUUGGAGGAAUUUCAGGCAAGCUUUCUUAUCAAACCAGAGCCAACUGUUGGUGGGACAGUAAGGAUAAACUGGUUUUGUUACACUCUCCUACAUCAUUGGUUGAAGCCUUUUUUAACUUGCUACAUUCUAAAGGACACAUUUGGGAGCAGUUUAGACAGGCAUAGUUUAUGGGUUCUCCGGGCUUCCCACCACUUUCUCAUACGAAAAAAAAUCACCGGACAAAUCAUGAUAACCGAGUUUUUUUCUUAUAAGUCUUUACAUG
rnacentral:lncRNA from 1 species